CUGGAAUCGCUAGUAAUCGCGAAUCAGAAUGUCGCGGUGAAUACGUUCCCGGGUCCUUGUACACACCGCCCGUCACACCAUGGGAGUCGGGAAUGCCCGAAGUCAGUGACCCAACCUAUAGGAGGGAGCUGCCGAAGGCAGGUCUGAUAACUGGGGUGAAGUCGUAACAAGGUACC
rnacentral:rRNA from 1 species